AAGAGACUGCCGGUGUUAAACCGGAGGAAGUGGGGAUGACGUCAAGUCCUCAUGGCCUUUAUGCUUAGGGCUACACACGUGCUACAAUGGGUGGUACAAAGAGAAGCCAACUCGCGAGAGCGCGCCAAUCUCAAAAAGCCAUCCUCAGUUCGGAUUGGAGUCUGCAACUCGACUCCAUGAAGUUGGAAUCGCUAGUAAUCGCGGAUCAGCAUGCCGCGGUGAAUACGUUCCCGGGCCUU
rnacentral:rRNA from 1 species